AUUGAACGCUGGCGGCAGGCCUAACACAUGCAAGUCGAACGAAGUCUUCGGACUUAGUGGCGGACGGGUGAGUAACACGUGGGAACGUGCCUUUAGGUUCGGAAUAACUCAGGGAAACUUGUGCUAAUACCGAAUGUGUCCUUCGGGGGAAAGAUUUAUCGCCUUUAGAGCGGCCCGCGUCUGAUUAGCUAGUUGGUGAGGUAAAGGCUCACCAAGGCUACGAUCAGUAGCUGGUCUGAGAGGAUGACCAGCCACAUUGGGACUGAGACACGGCCCAAACUCCUACGGGAGGCAGCAGUGGGGAAUCUUGCGCAAUGGGCGAAAGCCUGACGCAGCCAUGCCGCGUGGAUGAUGAAGGUCUUAGGAUUGUAAAAUCCUUUCACCGGUGAAGAUAAUGACUGUAGCCGGAGAAGAAGCCCCGGCUAACUUCGUGCCAGCCGCCGCCGUAAGAC
rnacentral:rRNA from 1 species